AUGGUUCGAACCGUUGGCACCGGAGAAUUUUGGUCAUAUGCAAGUAUGCCAAUAAAGAGAUCGGUGUAUAAAAUGAUGAGGUCCUAAAAUGAUUUAAGACUUAAAAUUGUGGUGACGGUGACUGGAAAUAAUAUUUUGUUUGUGCCAAAAGAGGCUACGGAGUAGUACCAUAUUUCAUGAUCGUGAUAAUGAGUAUAUGAGGUGUGUUGAAAAUAAUUAUUAUUUAAGUGAAUUGGGAUCAAGAAAUUAAUUAUGCGAGUAGUUAGUUAAAUGAUGGAAUGUAAUGGGGAGCAAAGGAAUUACUUAAAUACGUAUAUGGGUAAUUUUUGGGUGACAUCAUUUAGAUGUGGGACCAUAAUGGAAUGGUCACAUAAUAGAUAUUAGUAGAUAAGGUGAAUGUUUGGUGAAUUACGUGUAUCAUUCUUUUGGUGUUACAUGUAAGGCUUAAAAUUAAUCCAUGUGGUGUGCUAGUGGAAGUAGAGGGACCUACGUGUCACACUAACAAUUCAAUAGGUCCAAGAUAGGGCUAGCAACCCCUUUAUACGUAGAAAAAAAUUCAUUUAAAGGGAAUCUAAUAUGUCGAUAGCCUUUACUUUCAGUUUCUUUGGAAAAGCAACGUCUUCAUUGAAGGAGUGAAAAAAAAAAAAACGUUGCUAGAAACUCUUGGGGGCAUUCAAUAAAAAUAAUUGUGUUAGAAGAAGUUACUUACUGUUUUUAAUACAUUUGGCAAACUUUCGGCCAAUUCUCACUCCAACAAGAAUUUCAGAAACGUUAGAGUAAAAUUAACGGUUUUUCUCCACUUAUCCAGGUACAGACGCUCGAUUUGGUGAUCCCCCAGCUUAGGAUUCCGUUUCAGCUGUCUUAGAGAGCUCCGUUGUUCCGGAGCCUAGAUUUUGGUACAGUCCUUCUGAUAUAUAUAUAUGUUUGUCUAGGGGUACGAUGGGGCCCUGUCCCGUCAUAUUUCACUGUUAGUACUCUUAGAGGUUUGUAGACAUGUGUGUGGGUUGUGUAUAAGUUCUAUUCAGCUGUGUCUAUCCGAUAUGCUAUGAUAUGAUGUCCGUUUAUAGUGGCAGCCUCGUCGGCUUGCGUAUGACAUGAUGUUGAUGUGUAGUGGCAGCCUUGUCGACUUACGUAUCAUUUUAUGAUUUGAUCAGUUGUGACUCCUCAGGAGACAGUUUAUCUGAAUAUACAUAUAUGAUGACGAUAUGAACCGUUGGAGUUCUUUUGCAAGUUUCCAUAUUGUUCAUAGAUUCAGUUCGAUUAUAUUUUCAUUGGUUCGUAGAUGGGUGUCCAGUUCGGGCACUAGUCAUGGACCAUGGGGUUGGGUCGCGACAAAAGUGGUAUUUAUCAGAGCAGUUCAUCCUCGGAGUGUCUAUAGACCGUGUCUAGUAGAGUCUUGUUUAUCGGUGUGUUGUGCACCACAUCUAUAAACUGGAAGCUACAGGACAUUUAGGAUGUUACCUUUCCUUCUUAUUCUAGAUCGUGCGAUAGAGCCAAGAGAUAGGAAAUGAUAUCCCUUAUAUACUGACCUUUGAUUUCAGCAGGAGAGUGGUGUCGACAAGAGAAGGUAAAUAAUGUUACUGGGAGUUACAGAGGCUAAUAUUUCAUUGAGGUUACGUUAUCAGAAUUUGUAUAUACAGAGUGGAAAACUGGUCAUCAUCAAGGUAAGUAAUUGUAAGUAUAGUAAGAAAAUGGAUUGAAUGUAUAUAUUUUGUUGAUAAGUUUUGUUAUAAGGUGUGCACAGCAGAUAUCGUGUGAAUGUUGCAAGUAUGAUUGAAACCUGCUGUUAAAGAUUGAAAGGGAAAAUAAACAGGAAAGUGUAACAGGUACAGUUUGAGUUGGACAUACGAGGUAAGUUCGUCAUUUUCAUACUGAUAUAGCUAUGGAGAGCCCUGUGUGGCUAUGAUACGUUAUAAUAUAUGCAUAUAUAUGUUGGCCCUGUGAGGCAUUGUUGGUAUUUCCUGCGUGCAGGUUUUGGGAUAAUAAGAAAUACAGGAGAAACUAUGUCAAAACUUUCCUAGAAAUAAAAAGAGAAUGAGGUAUAAGUUCGUAAUAUUCUUGAAAGGUCGUAUCAAUAGUAAUGAUAGGAUUUGACUAAGUGGUGGGUACAACAGACUUCGAGGAAUAAGUUAACUGUUGAAUUGAUGGUAGUAGUAAUUAUGAAGUCGAUAUCAAUAUGGUAAAAAGGAAAUGCUAGGACAAUUUGGAAGGGCUUGUGAUAAUAAAAGAUGAUUCAGAAAAGGAUGGAAAAUCAUAAUAGAGUGUUAUAUUGAGGUAUCAACUGAAUUGACCAGCAGGGAUAAAUUACGACGAGUUUAUAGUUAAAAGAAAUAAUAGUAUGAUUGAGACAAGAGUACAGAGAAGGAUUGUGACGAAUAUGAAUGUAUUGAUAAAAUAGCUUGUGAGGUAUUAAGGAUAAGAUUGACCAGGAAGGGUAAAAGGUUAAGUACGCUUACUCCACAGAGUGUAAUUAAACCAUAGUAAGAAUCGUGAAUAAGGUUGAGAAGUGUUACACUAUAAGAUUGAUUACGAACAGGAUAUUAUGUGGAGAUAGUAGGGAUUGUUAUGAAAAUGAGUAAAGCCUAGCGAGGAAGUGUCUAAAAGAUAUGACGUGACCUAUGCGACUAGAGUAUAAAGGCAAGUGUGAAACAGAAAAGCGAGCUAUAGAACGAAUAAGAAAGGCUUAUAAAGUUUUGUAGGGAAAGUUCAGAAUAGAGAUUAUGUGAUAACGAAAAUGAAAGCGAGCGCAAGAAAAGAAGGAGUUAAUUGAAAGAAGGAAAUAAGAAGAAAGCGAGCGGGAUAACAGUGUAGUAAUGGGUUAUGACAUGUAUAGCCAAGAAAAUGAGUAAUAUAAGUGACGGAACUGUGAAAGACUAAACUAUAGAAAAAUGACCAACGAGGUAGAAUGAGUGAUAGAAAAUGACUGGGAUAGUAAGAACAAAUAGGGAUGGACAGAGUACGUUUUGAGAAUGAGAAAAGGGUUAUGUAGAAGUAAUGUUUUCCAAAGGAUACAGAGGUAGCAUAAGAUUCCUCGUGCACAGAAUGGAAGAUGGACAUAGAAUAGAGAAAUGGUAAGGGAAUACUAAAGGAAGCACCCAAGAUAGACGUAAUUAAUUGAGUACGAGUAUAAAACAAAAGGGAAAUAUAUAGCUACAAACUUAAAGGUGGAGUACGACGAUAAGGUGAUAAGAUAAGACCAUUAUUAAGACGAACUUGGUAUGAUUUUGAGUAAGUUAGAAGUCAGCGUUUGGUACACAACAAGGGUAAAAGAAUAUAAGGCAUAAAGGAGUACUGCAUGUUAAUGACUUCACCUCGGAAGUAGUGAAAUCCUUAAAGGAUAAGGACUGUAGGCCUGAGGAACAAAUGAGGUAUUGUGAAUUUAUUAGAAGAAUUAGAUAUGAGCUAUAUUACUAAAAAGGGCUAAUGCGUAAGAUGACCUAUGGGUCUCAAUGAAUUUGUGGCAAAGAACACUAUGACAAAGGCAUCUAUCCUAUGGUAAGUUAUAGACAUUGGACAACGAAGGGAGAUUGACCUUCGACAUUAUGAGGUGAUACGACAAGCAUAGAUGUAAAAAUGAAAUGGUAAGAGGUAUGGACCGAAGGACAAAAGAGGGACGGAAAGUUCAAGACAGCACUUCAUAAAGUGAUGCAAAAUGUGAAACAGAUUUGAAAAAUGGGCAUAUGACAGAAAAGAGGUACUACCUAGAUAUGAUGAUAGGGGUGCUAUAGGGAAAACUACCUAUAUAAAUGUUCACUCACAACGUGAUACGAGUAUUUACCUCAAAAGAGUGCUCUCGAGAGAUUCAUUAUGGGACAUGAUUAACAUGGGAUUUAGAACCCCUUAAGAUCAUCAUUCAGAUAUAAGGUAAGUGAGAAGAGACACCCGAAGAGGAUUCUAAAGAUAAGAAGAACGUUCCUGGUUAUUACGUAAUCGCGAGAGGUCAAGAGAUGACAUGGUAUCAGUAUGUAACAAAUGAUUCACAUGGUUGAUUUAAUAAUGUGGGUAUAGAGGUAAUGACUAUAUGAUUAAGAUUAUGGGAAGGAGUAACGAUGAGUACAAAGGGUUUCUAGACUAGUUGAGGCAAAAUGAAAGGGGAUCGACGAGUUUAAGUAUCAAGGAGAAUUAUAUCAGGAGAGUGACUCACUUAUAUCUCUGGAAAGGAUAUUCUUGAGGUGUCAAGGGAAUAUUGCAGCCGAGAUUCAUUACUAAGAAGAAAACUCAUUUUUGACUAUUCACAAGGAAUGUUACAGAUAGUGCAUGUCAGAGGAUUAAAAUGAUGACUCCAAGAAGGAUGUAUGCUGCGGACUAUGCAACCUAAAUUAAGAGUGGAAGUAGACCUAUAAGAAUUAGAAGAGAGAACAAGAGAAAACAAGAUACGAUGGUAAACCUACCCAAGGGAAAGACAACUCCUAAUCUACAGUGUUACUUGAAAGAUGAAUCCACAACAAAAAAAAACUCAACUUAAGCUUCAAGCGUAGAUAGAUAUAGUAAGUUGCAGUCAAUUACGGAAGUAUCUAAAUUAUGACCACCUUCUUUGGAAAUUGAAUAUGAAUCGGUGUCAAGUGGAGAAUGGUAUUAAGUUAAGCAAUGAGAGACACGACAUGAUAGAAGAGUAAUUGAUUCAUCAUAAGAUCACCAUAACUAGUAUACUUAUACAGGACUAGUUUAACAUUCAAGGACGAAUGUUCUAAAGGGGGGAAGGAUGUUACAUCUCGUAUUUUCGUGCGUUGGAAAGCGUGCGAGUUAAAUGACAUUAGUAACGGAAGUGAGGUUAACCCUCAAGCUCAUAGAUGGUUAGAGUGAUGGUACAAAUGUAUUGAAAGCAUUAGAAGUCAAGUAAAUUGGAUAAAAUAAUUUUCAUUAAGGUUCAGCGUUUAUUUGAGUGAAAUACGGUCCAAGCUAUAAUACCCCGUAUUUUUGGACUAGGAAAUUGAACCGCCAAACAUGAGCAAAUUUAUUCGAGUCCGGAGGAUUUGGUCAUUUCAAGCAUGAAAAUCAAAGAACUUGGUGUGUACAUGGGAUGAAAUCCCUAAAUGAUUUAAGACAAAAAUGUGACGACGAUGAUUGGAAAUAAUAUUUUAUGUAUGACAAAUGAGAUUAUGGACUAGUGUUAUAUUACAUGGUCAUGGUAAUGAGUAUAUAAAGUGUGUCGAAAAUGAUCACCAUUUAAGUGAAUUGAGAUCAAGAAAUUAAUUAUGUGGGUAAUUAGUUAAAUGUUGGGAUAAGUGGGAGAGUAAAGUAUUAAUUAUGGCAUUAAUUUUUAAUACAUGGAUAAUUUUCAUUUGAUGGGUGCCAUGUGUAACCGUGGGGACAAGUGGUUGAUGGCUAAGCAAAUAUAAGGAUUAGGUGGCAAGUCCAUGAUUAUGAGUCAUUCUAGAGUGGACCCUACUUUACACUACCUAUUUGAAAUCUGAUUUUUGUUUAAGUCUAUCUCUUGAGAAGUAAAUAUAAGUGCUACAUCAAAAAGUCUACAUACAUAUAUCAUAUAUCUCUCUCUAACGUUUCAGCUAGGUGAAGAAAUUACAUAUAUACAUGUCUCUUCUUCUUUCCUUUGUUAAGUGAUGGUUAAGAAGUAACAACAACACUUCUAUCUUUAAACAUCCAAAACAGCAACGUGAGCUACAAUAUUAAAGAGGCAAGUAAAGUAUCUUUUUUCUCAAGAAUAACAUACGGAUUUUGUACAUCACUUCGGUUUCGUUGUUCCGUUUUAUCGUGUUGUUGGACCCGGACUUUCUUCAAAGUGAAGUAAGGUGGAAGAAGAGUAGUUCUUGGUAUAUAAGGUAAGAAAUCCUCUCUCCUAGAUAUAUUUGAGUUAUCCGAAUCGUAUCUACGUUGCUAGAUGAAAGAAUUACGAAAACUACAUCGGAAACCGGAUAAAUUGUUAUUGUUAUCAUGUGGGCUGUUUGGUGGUUGUUAUGAAUUGUUUUGUGGGCUGGAAUACCUUGGGAUUGGCUGUAGUUGCUCUUGUUAUGCUUGUUGUUACACUAUGUAUAUACAAAAAUAAAGAAGUGUAUACAAGUAUCGGUAUAGGAAUGUAUAUUGGGCUGUUUUGGAGGCAAUGUAAGAAUGGAUUUGAUUCUAUAUGGAUAUCUAUUUAUUGAUAUUGUUGUUGGUAUUGUAAUUGAUAUUUUGGCUAAAUUGUGGGAAUUGAUGAAAUAAACCCGAACUUGAGAAUAAAAUCGUCACUUGGAAAGAGUUGAAUUUAUGGGCUGUUUUCUCGUUACAAUCAUAUGAUAUAAGGAUAGAAUUUGUAGUAAAUGACUUCCUUAUCUUAUUGAGAAUGUUUUUAAGUUAAGAAAGAAGUAUACAAAAGAUGACAUGGGUUGUACAGAUCCUACUUCAUGCUUGACGAUCAUUAUAAAGUAUUAUGAGGUCAUUAUGGAUAUAUAUGUUGUGUUGUUGAGAUCUAUUUUUGUCAUUUUGGCUAUUAUUGUGAUAUAUGGAAUUGGGGAAAUGCUACCAGUUUCGUUUUAGGAUCAAAUUAUCAAUUGAUAUACACGAUAUACGAAAGCCAUCUAAAGUCGUACAUGUAUUUCCUUGUUAUAGGAUUAGGCAUCAACAUUAAGACGAGUUCAUUUUGGGUUUAUAUUGGCGACUUAAGGUACAGACGCUCGAUUCGGUGAUCCCCCAGCUUAGGAUUUCCAUUCAGCUGUCUUGGAGAGCUCCGUUGUUCCGGAGCCUAGAUUUUGGUACAGACCUUCUGAUGUUUAUAUAAAUAUUUGUCCAGGGGUACGACGGGGCCCUGUCCCGUCAUAUUUCACCGUUGAUACUCUUAGAGGUCUGUAGACAUGUAUGUGGGUUGUAUACAGAUUUGAUCAGCUGUGUCUAAAUAGUUUUAUUGUGGAUGUUCUGUCGUUGUAGCAGCCUCGCCGGCUUGCAUAUACUAUCGUUUCGUAGUGGCAGCCUUGUCGGCUUGCGUAAUAUACUGAUAUGUAGUGGCAGCCUUGUUGGCUUGCGUAAUAUACUGAUAUGUAGUGGCAGCC